rnacentral:rRNA from 1 species
UAUGAGUACAACUCUGUACGGUGGAUCACUCGGCUCAGUGCAGACAACUGCAUACUGCUUUGAACAUCGACAUCUUGAACGCACAUUGAA